rnacentral:rRNA from 1 species
UACGUAGGGGGCAAGCGUUGUCCGGAUUUAUUGGGCAUAAAGAGCGUGUAGGCGGCCAGAUAGGUCAGCUGUGAAAACUCGAGGCUCAACCUCGAGACGUCGGUUGAAACCGUUUGGCUAGAGUCCGGAAGAGGAGAGUGGAAUUCCCGGUGUAGCGGUGAAAUGCGCAGAUAUCGGGAAGAACACCCGUGGCGAAGGCGGCACUCUGGGACGGUACUGACGCUGAGACGCGAAAGCGUGGGGAGCGAACAGG